UUACCGUGAAAGGUAGUGUGAGUGAGACUGUCAGCUUGGACAGUGCUCUGCAAGAGAAUGGGUAUGCACAUCUCACACCUUUUGUUGCAGGAUAUCAUCUGCUGUCACAGUGAUCCUUUCCCCAUUUCACCUUCCCCCAGUUUAAAAAAAAAAUUCCUUUUCCUUUGGCCUUGAACAGUAAGUUACUGGAUUGUUCCUCACUCAAGGGAGGUGGGGAGGAGGGCUGGGAGAUGCUAGGAUUUUUUUCUUCCCAUAAGUUAGUAGUAGCCUGACUCCCUAGAAUUGUGUUUGAAAGUUCUUGAUGUGUUAUUUCAUAGUGAAAAUAUGACUAACCCUUAUCUGUGCAUCCAAGUGAGAUUUCCAUAUUUGAUGAGCGCUGAAGCAAACAUGCAGUUAUCAAAUGUAAUGUAGUAUACUUAACCUUAACUUGGGUCCAAAACUGCAUGCAGAAUUUUUUUGCAGGACCUUUUUUCCCCCUUCGGACAGGU
rnacentral:lncRNA from 1 species